rnacentral:rRNA from 1 species
CGCAGUCUGAUCAGCGAUGCCGCGUGCGGGAUGAAGGCCUUCGGGUUGUAAACCUCUUUCGGCAGGGAAGAAACGAAAGUUCCAACACCUACUGCAAAUGCCCCGGCCUGCUGAAUGACCCCCGGCUAACUACUUGCUAGGGGGCAAGGUAUUACCGGAGGUGCUGGGGUUAAUCAGAAUUACUGGGCUUAAAGCGUGCGCAUGUGGUUAUCCAAAACAGGCCCGCAAUCCCCGGGCUUAACCUGGGAAUGGCGUCUGUGGCUGGGUAGAUUGGGUGUGUCGGAGGGGGGUGGAAUUCCACGUGUAUCAGUGAAAAGACUAAAUAUGUGGGGGAACCUCUGAGGCCAAAGCAGCCCCCUGGAACAAAACUGAAGGUCAUGCACCAAGGCGUGGGGAGCAAAUAGGAUUACAUGCCCUGGUACUCCACGCCCUAAACGAUCCUGACUAGUUUUUGGCAAUUUACAUUCUCCAUAACGUACCUGACGCGGGUAGUCCCCCGCCAGGGGAAUACUGUCGUUGAAAUU